ACCUGGUAAUUAUCACGUUGUGGGGAUCAAUUGUUCCCACAAAGGUAGUGUUGAAAUAUAAUUUGAAGUCAUUGUUUUUGUUUUAUUAAUUAUUAUCAUAUGUAUCUGUUCACCUAAAUAUGAAAAAAACAGCAAGGUAAUGGAAGCUAUUAGCUGGAAUGCAUGCCUUUGUUUUCAUAGGGCAUAUUGACCAUUUGUUAUCUACUCAAAGGGGGAUGAUCUGGGAUGCGUUUAAACAGACCCCUUCCUGCUGUAAUGAUUAUCUGACCAAAGGGGGAUGAUCAGGAAUGCGUUUACAGCUGUCCUUUCUUGCCUGACGUAACCUCUCUUUCAUGUUUAUAUUGUAAUCUAAAGGCAUUGUUUCCAUCUGAAGGGACUGCUCCCUUCGAAUGGCUUAAAAUGUAAUGCAUGUAUACCCAAAGUCAGACUUGGUUACUGCAGCGCCCCGAGCUCUAUGCUCUGACGCUUUCUGCAAUAAAGACUACUGCUCGAGGAAAUCCAAGUCUCCUGGUCUUCGCUAAAAAAGUUUCCAACAGAUGAUGCCGAGACCCGGAUAGAGCUUCUCAUUUCACCAAAUAUCUACAAACAUCGCUCCAGACUGAUUUUUUUCAGCUCAACUUUGAUUUGAUACAGGACAAUGCCAAAUGCAUGACUGUCACCUCCUCAUCAACAGCCUAGUGUAAAGCAAAUACAGACAUGUAUAUGGAAAACUGCCACAUUGGAAAAAUAGGGAAUCUCUUGAGGGAUCCUGAAGUUUGCCAUUCAAUCCACAUCAAACAGCUGAAACCGUUAACAGUGGAACACAGAUAAUCUACAUUCAAGGAUCUAUAUAUUCUGUGCCAAUUCACACACGUCAAAUGUGCCUGUAACUACCAAUGUUACAAGACUAGAAGAUGGGACAUUAUGUUAACCAACAUAUGUCAAAGAAUGGACUUAUGAAGGUUUAGAAUUAAAUUAUGUGAGAGUUAUUUAGAACUCUCAAAGGGGGAAUUGUAAUCUAAAUGCAUUGUUUCCAUCUGAAGGGACUGCCCUCUGAAUGGCUUUAAAUGUAAUGCAUGUAUACCCAAAGUCAGACUUGGCAACUGCAGCACCCCGAGCUCUAUGCUCUGAUAGCAAAAACGCGUUCUGCAAUAAAGACUACUGCUCGAGGAAA